CCUACGGGUGGCAGCAGUGGGGAAUGUUGCACAAUGGGCGCAAGCCUGAUGCAGCCAUGCCGCGUGUAUGAAGAAGGCCCUAGGGUUGUAAAGUACUUUCAGUCGGGAGGAAGGCGUUGAUGCUAAUAUCAUCAACGAUCGACGUUACCGACAGAAGAAGCACCGGCUAACUCCGUGCCAGCAGCCGCGGUAAUACGGAGGGUGCAAGCGUUAAUCGGAAUUACUGGGCGUAAAGCGCACGCAGGCGGUUGAUUAAGUUAGAUGUGAAAUCCCCGGGCUUAACCUGGGAAUGGCAUCUAAGACUGGUCAGCUAGAGUCUUGUAGAGGGGGGUAGAAUUCCAUGUGUAGCGGUGAAAUGCGUAGAGAUGUGGAGGAAUACCGGUAGCGAAGGCGGCCCCCUGGACAAAGACUGACGCUCAGGUGCGAAAGCGUGGGGAGCAAACAGGAUUAGAUACCCGUGUAGUC
rnacentral:rRNA from 1 species